GAUGAACGCUGGCAGAAUGCUUAACACAUCAGCGAUGGAUUGGUGGCGGACGGGUACGUAACGCGUAAAUAACUUGCCUCACCGGUAGGGGCAAGAUUAGGAAACGAAUGCUAAUACCUAAUACUGUGAGAGAGCGUUGCGUCCCAUUAGCUCGUUGGGGAGGUAACGGCUCACCAAGGCGAUGAGGGGUAGCCGGACUGCGAGAGUGAUCGGCCCCAAGGGCACUGGGUCACGGCCCUUACUCAUACGGGGGGAAGCAGGGGGGACUUGUGGCAAACGGACCAAUGUCUGAUCAAGCACUUCUGUGUGCAAGAUGAUUUUUUAGGAAUGUAAAGGUCUUUCAUUAGAGAAGCGGUACCAACAGAAGAAGUGACGGCUAACUACGUGCCAGCAGCCGCGGUAAUAC
rnacentral:rRNA from 1 species